CCUACGGGUGGCAGCAGUGAGGAAUAUUGGUCAAUGGACGAGAGUCUGAACCAGCCAAGUAGCGUGAAGGAUGACUGCCCUAUGGGUUGUAAACUUCUUUUAUAUGGGAAUAAAACGUUCCACGUGUGGGAUUUUGUAUGUACCAUAUGAAUAAGGAUCGGCUAACUCCGUGCCAGCAGCCGCGGUAAUACGGAGGAUCCGAGCGUUAUCCGGAGUUAUUGGGUUUAAAGGGAGCGUAGGUGGAUUGUUAAGUCAGUUGUGAAAGUUUGCGGCUCAACCGUAAAAUUGCAGUUGAAACUGGCAGUCUUGAGUACAGUAGAGGUGGGCGGAAUUCGUGGUGUAGCGGUGAAAUGCUUAGAUAUCACGAAGAACUCCGAUUGCGAAGGCAGUUCACUGGACUGCAACUGACACUGAGGCUCGAAAGUGUGGGUAUCAAACAGGAUUAGAUACCCCAGUAGUC
rnacentral:rRNA from 1 species